rnacentral:miRNA from 1 species
GUCUCGAUGACCGGAAGGGAUUCCUUCCGGUCAUCAAAAUUUGAAUGGUCUCGAUGACCAGAAGGGAUUCCUUCCGGUCAUCAAAAUUUGAAUGGUGUUGAUGACCGGAAGGGGUCCUUCCGGUCAUUGAAUGGUCUUGAUGACCUUUGAUGACCGGAAGGAAUCCCUUCCGGUCAUUGAGAC